rnacentral:ncRNA from 1 species
CAAGGGCCUGGUCCUGGCCCUUUUAUUGGCUACUUCCAGAAUUAUACAUGUAAGAAUCCCCGCCCCAGUGAAAAUGCCCUUAGCUUUUUAAAAAGAUAAGGAGCAGGUAUCAGGCACACGAUCGUUGCCCCCUACACCUUGCUUUGCCACACCCCCACGGGUACUCAACAGUAAUUAAUAUUGAGAAAUGAUUGAAAAAUCGACUCAGCCAUGGAUAAAAGAGUUGGUAAAUUUCGUGCCAGCCACCGCGGUUAUACGUAAAACUCAAGUCAAUAACCUCCGGCGUAAAGAGUGGUCUGAGAAUUUUAUACUAAAGUUGAACUACCUACAAGGUGUUAUACCCCUAAUAGGAAAAGAAAACCAAUGCGAAAGCAACUUUAACAAAUCAAAUCCACGAAAAUUAUGAAACAAACUAGGAUUAGAUACCCUACUAUGCAUAAUCUUAAACUAAGGAUUACCCUUACUAUAAUCCCGCCGGGGAAUUACGAGCACAAGCUUGAAACCCAAAGGACUUGGCGGUGCUUUAGAUCCACCUAGAGGAGCCUGUUCUAUAAUCGAUACCCCACGCUAAACCUCGCCCCAUCUCGUCAUAUCCGCUUGUAUACCGCCGUCGUCAGCUUACACUGUGAAGCACAAAAAGUAAGCAGGAACGCCCCCCUAAAACGUCAGGUCAAGGUGCAGCUAAUGUUGGGGAAAGAAAUGGGCUACAUUCAUUCUUAAAUGAAUACGAAUGCAAAAAUGAAAUAAAAGCUGAAGGAGGAUUUAGAAGUAAGUUAGAAAAGAAAAUCUAUCUGAACCUGGCUCUGAAGCGCGCACACACCGCCCGUCACUCUCUCUUAACUUAAACAAUUUUACCUAAAACUCAACACUUAAAAAGAGAGGCAAGUCGUAACAUGGUAAGAGUACUGGAAAGUGCUCUUGGAAAAC